CUUGGGGGGGGGUCCUUCAGCUAAGAUUGCGAGAGGGCGCAGGCCAUGCUGAUGGACACCACUGGUGCAUG
rnacentral:pre_miRNA from 1 species